rnacentral:rRNA from 1 species
GACGAACGCUGGCGGCGUGCUUAACACAUGCAAGUCGAACGGAAAGGCCCUGCUUUUGUGGGGUGCUCGAGUGGCGAACGGGUGAGUAACACGUGAGUAACCUGCCCUUGACUUUGGGAUAACUUCAGGAAACGGGGGCUAAUACCGUAUAGGAGCUCCUGCGGCAUGGUGGGGGUUGGAAAGUUUCGGCGGUUGGGGAUGGACGCGCGGCUUAUCAGCUUGUUGGUGGGGUAGUGGCUUACCAAGGCUUUGACGGGUAGCCGGCCUGAGAGGGUGACCGGCCACAUUGGGACUGAGAUACGGCCGAGACUCCUACGGGGGGGAGCAGUGGGGAAUAUUGCACAAUGGGCGGAAGCCUGAUGCAGCAACGCCGCGUGCGGGAUGACGGCCUUCGGGUUGUAAACCGCUUUCGCCUGUGACGAAGCGUGAGUGACGGUAAUGGGUAAAGAAGCACCGGCUAACUACGUG